rnacentral:tRNA from 1 species
GGGGUUAUAGCUCAAAUGGGAGAGCGCUGGAUGAAUUAACUGUCGCCAUGGAGAUAGUUAAGUAUCCAGAGGUUGUAGGUUCAAAUCCUACUAACUCCA